rnacentral:rRNA from 1 species
UACGUAGGGGGCUAGCGUUAUCCGGAUUUACUGGGCGUAAAGGGUGCGUAGGCGGUCUUUCAAGUCAGGAGUGAAAGGCUACGGCUCAACCGUAGUAAGCUCUUGAAACUGUAAGACUUGAGUGCAGGAGAGGAGAGUGGAAUUCCUAGUGUAGCGGUGAAAUGCGUAGAUAUUAGGAGGAACACCAGUAGCGAAGGCGGCUCUCUGGACUGCAACUGACGCUGAGGCACGAAAGCGUGGGGAGCAGACAGGAUUAGAUACCCU